rnacentral:tRNA from 1 species
GAGGGUAUAGCUCAGUGGCAGAGGGCAUGCCCAGCAUGCAUGAGGGCCUGGGUUCAAUCCUCAGUACUGCCA